GAUGAACGCUGGCGGCGUGCCUAAUACAUGCAAGUCGAGCGAACAGACGAGGAGCUUGCUCCUCUGACGUUAGCGGCGGACGUGUGAGUAACACGUGGAUAACCUACCUAUAAGACUGGGAUAACUUCGGGAAACCGGAUCUAAUACCGUAUAAUAUAUUGAACCGCAUUGUUCAAUAGUGAAAGACGGUUUUGCUGUCACUUAUAGAUGGAUCCGCGCCGCAUUAGCUAGUUGGUAAGGUAACGGCUUACCAAGGCGACGAUGCGUAGCCGACCUGAGAGGGUGAUCGGCCAAACUGGAACUGAGACACGGUCCAGAGUACUACGGGAGGCAGCAGUAGGGAAUCUUCCGCAAUGGGCGAAAGCCUGACGGAGCAACGCCGCGUGAGUGAUGAAGGUCUUCGGAUCGUAAAACUCUGUUAUUAGGGAAGAACAAAUGUGUAAGUAACUAUGCACGUCUUGACGGUACCUAAUCAGAAAGCCACGGCUAACUACGUG
rnacentral:rRNA from 1 species